CUGUUAGAGUUACCGCGAACAAGGGGAGACCUCGGGAGCGCGAAAAAUGCGGGACGGGUCACUCGACCCCGGAGUCACCACGCUCCGGGUACCGCCACGCACCGCGGGCUCACGAUGUGUACCCGGCUGGUACAUGCGGGGCCUUGCGCAUGGCCUCUUGAUGGGUGGACGAAACCGCAGCAGCGGGUCGCAGCGGCCACGUGGGGGGCGCGCACAGGCCCCGCACUGGCGCGACGCGCCCGCACACGCUCUAGUAUGCAUAUGAUCACUUACACGCACGUGCACCCAGACACGCGAGCGGCCUACAACUCCCAGGGCAGAAGGAAGGAAACGGUUGGACCGAAGGGAGGAAAUGAAAGAGGCUCGUUAGGGCGCCACGGCUAGACACAGGAACCUCAGAGAUGCGGGAGGCGGGGGUGGGGAGCCUUUGAAGAAGCGAUUUUUAGUGCACCCCCCUCCACCCCCCAAUUUUAGAGAUGCCGGCUCCGGGCCUCCCACAGCGGGACGUGCCCAGU
rnacentral:lncRNA from 1 species